rnacentral:rRNA from 1 species
AUUGAACGCUGGCGGAAUGCUUUACACAUGCAAGUCGAACGGCAGCACGGACUUCGGUCUGGUGGCGAGUGGCGAACGGGUGAGUAAUAUAUCGGAACGUGCCCAGUCGUGGGGGAUAACGUAGCGAAAGUUACGCUAAUACCGCAUACGAUCUACGGAUGAAAGCGGGGGAUCGCAAGACCUCGCGCGAUUGGAGCGGCCGAUAUCAGAUUAGGUAGUUGGUGGGGUAAAGGCUCACCAAGCCAACGAUCUGUAGCUGGUCUGAGAGGACGGCAGGCCAGACUGGAACUGAGACACGGUCCAGACUCCUACGGGAGGCAGCAGUGGGUAAUUUUGUACAAUGGACGCAAGUCUGAUCCAGCCAUUCCGCGUGCAGGAUGAAGGCCCUCGGGUUGUAAACUGCUUUUGUACAGAACGAAAAGGCUCUUCCUAAUACGGAGGGCUCAUGACGGUACUGUAAGAAUAAGCACCGGCUAACUACGUGCCAGCCGCCGCAGUAA